rnacentral:lncRNA from 1 species
UUGAAAAAUUCCAGAACACACUGUUUUAAAGACAAUCGAUUGUUAGUCAUAGACAAUCGAUUCCAGAUCACACUGUUUUAAAGACAAUCGAUUGUUUGUCAUAGACAAUCGAUUGUUGACUGUUUUUGUAAAAUUCCAGAUCACUAUUUUAAAGACAAUCGAUUGUUGAUCAUUGACAAUCGAUUGUUUUGCAGUUUUUAUGCGAAAUAUGAGAUUACCGACUAGUUUUUCAGGUUAGUCGAUUACCUCUACUGGAAAGUAAAAAUAUUAUUGAUAUUUGAGCAUAUUGAUACAUUCUAAAGAACUAAUACUAANNNN